UGGGGAAUAUUGCACAAUGGGCGCAAGCCUGAUGCAGCCAUGCCGCGUGUAUGAAGAAGGCCUUCGGGUUGUAAAGCACUUUCAGCGGGGAGGAAGGCGAUAAGGUUAAUAACCUUGUCGAUUGACGUUACCCGCAGAAGAAGCACCGGCUAACUCCGUGCCAGCAGCCGCGGUAAUACGGAGGGUGCAAGCGUUAAUCGGAAUUACUGGGCGUAAAGCGCACGCAGGCGGUCUGUCAAGUCGGAUGUGAAAUCCCCGGGCUCAACCUGGGAACUGCAUUCGAAACUGGGAGGCUAGAGUCUUGUAGAGGGGGGUAGAAUUCCAGGUGUAGCGGUGAAAUGCGUAGAGAUCUGGAGGAAUACCGGUGGCGAAGGAGGCCCCCUGGAAAAAGACUGACGCUCAGGUGCGAAAGCGUGGGGAGCAAACAGG
rnacentral:rRNA from 1 species